rnacentral:rRNA from 1 species
UACGGAGGGUGCAAACGUUGCUCGGAAUCAUUGGGCGUAAAGCGAACGUAGGCGGCAUUGCAAGUCGGGUGUGAAAGCCCUCGGCUCAACCGAGGAAGUGCAUUCGAAACUGCAACGCUUGAGUGUCGGAGAGGAUAGCGGAAUUCCCGGUGUAGAGGUGAAAUUCGUAGAUAUCGGGAGGAACACCAGUGGCGAAGGCGGCGAUCUGGGUGGAUACUGACGCUGAGGUGCGAAAGCGUGGGGAGCAAACAGG